rnacentral:rRNA from 1 species
CCUACGGGUGGCAGCAGUGGGGAAUAUUGCACAAUGGGGGAAACCCUGAUGCAGCGACGCCGCGUGAGUGAAGAAGUAUUUCGGUACGUAAAGCUCUAUCAGCAGGGAAGAAAAUGACGGUACCUGACUAAGAAGCCCCGGCUAACUACGUGCCAGCAGCCGCGGUAAUACGUAGGGGGCAAGCGUUAUCCGGAUUUACUGGGGGUAAAGGGAGCGUAGACGGCAGCGCAAGUCUGGAGUGAAAUCCCAUGGCUGAACCAUGGAACUGCUGUGGAAACUGUGCAGCUAGAGUGCAGGAGAGGUAAGCGGAAUUCCUAGUGUAGCGGUGAAAUGCGUAGAUAUUAGGAGGAACACCAGUGGCGAAGGCGGCUUACUGGACUGUAACUGACGUUGAGGCUCGAAAGCGUGGGGAGCAAACAGGAUUAGAUACCCCUGUAGUC